rnacentral:rRNA from 1 species
UACAGAGGUCCCAAGCGUUGUUCGGAUUCACUGGGCGCAAAGGGUGCGUAGGUGGUGAGGUAAGUCGGAUGUGAAAUCUCGGAGCUCAACUCCGAAAUGGCAUUGGAAACUGCCUUGCUAGAGGGUUGGAGGGGGGACUGGAAUUCUCGGUGUAGCAGUGAAAUGCGUAGAUAUCGAGAGGAACACCGGUGGCGAAGGCGAGUCCCUGGACAACUCCUGACACUGAGGCACGAAAGCUAGGGGAGCAAACAGG